rnacentral:rRNA from 1 species
CUACGGGUCGCAGCAGUGAGGAAUAUUGCACAGUGGAGGAAACUCUGAUGCAGCAACGCCGCGUGGAGGAUGACGCAUUUCGGUGUGUAAACUCCUUUUAUAUGUCAAGAAAAUGACGGUAGCAUAUGAAUAAGCACCGGCUAACUCCGUGCCAGCAGCCGCGGUAAUACGGAGGGUGCAAGCGUUACUCGGAAUCACUGGGCGUAAAGGACGCGUAGGCGGGAUAUCAAGUCAGGUGUGAAAUCCUACAGCUUAACUGUAGAACUGCACUUGAAACUGGUAACCUAGAGUAUGGGAGGGGGAGAUGGAAUUAGUGGUGUAGGGGUAAAAUCCGUAGAUAUCACUAGGAAUACCUAAAGCGAAGGCGAUCUCCUGGAACAUAACUGACGCUAAGGCGCGAAAGCGUGGGGAGCAAACAGGAUUAGAUACCCGUGUAGUC